CGAAACAUCCUGGAGGAGAUGGUCAGCCAAGAAGGUCUUUAGCACGUUUACCAUCAUGCAACGACCACAUGGGUGAUCCACCACUGGGACGCAUCACAGCGAUGCCCAUCCUUGGCUCGAUGCCCGAUGCCAGCACACCUCGCGGGAACCACAGAAAUUUUCCUCCGGACCCAGAGAGUACCACGAACACUCAACUCACACCAUUUGAAUGAGAAGAAUGACCUCUGGCAUUUAUUCUAGAUGACCUGGUUGGGAGAAGAACUA